AAUGAACGUUGGCGGCAUGGAUUAGGCAUGCAAGUCGAGCGAGAAGAGUUUUGAAGCUUGCUUUAGAACUCGGACAGCGGCGAAAGGGAGAGUAACGCGUAGUUAUGUGCCCUAGGGUCCGGAAUAGCCACGGGAAACUGUGGGUAAUGCCGGAUAAUAUCCCCGGAUCAAAGGUGUGAUUCCGCCCUAGGAGCAGACUGCGUCCUACUAGCUAGUUGGUGGGGUAAUGGCCCACCAAGGCAACGAUGGGUAGCGGGUGUGAGAGCAUGACCCGUCUCACUAGGACUGAGACACUGCCCAGACACCUACGGGUGGCUGCAGUCGAGAAUCUUCGGCAAUGGGCGAAAGCCUGACCGAGCGAUGCCGCGUGCGGGAUGAAGGCCCUCGGGUUGUAAACCGCUGUCGUAGGGGAGGAAGGUUCCGUGAAGAGCGGAACUUGACCUAUCCUAGGAGGAAGUACGGGCUAAGUUCGUGCCAGCCGCCGCGGUAACAC
rnacentral:rRNA from 1 species